rnacentral:pre_miRNA from 1 species
AAGGGGAGCACUAGAUCCUAGGCUGUGUCUCUCAAUGCCUUGGGCUCCAGGGCCUGUGCUGCUGUAAUCGUGCUCCUGGGACUACGCAGCCCCCU